GCUUAACACAUGCAAGUCGAACGCUGAAGCCUGGUGCUUGCACCGGGUGGAUGAGUGGCGAACGGGUGAGUAACACGUGAGUAACCUGCCCCUGACUUCGGGAUAAGCCCGGGAAACUGGGUCUAAUACCGGAUACGACUGCCGGACGCAUGUCUGGUGGUGGAAAGUUUUUUCGGUUGGGGAUGGGCUCGCGGCCUAUCAGUUUGUUGGUGAGGUAAUGGCUCACCAAGACGACGACGGGUAGCCGGCCUGAGAGGGCGACCGGCCACACUGGGACUGAGACACGGCCCAGACUCCUACGGGAGGCAGCAGUGGGGAAUAUUGCACAAUGGGGGAAACCCUGAUGCAGCGACGCAGCGUGCGGGAUGACGGCCUUCGGGUUGUAAACCGCUUUCAGCAGGGAAGAAGCGCAAGUGACGGUACCUGCAGAAGAAGUACCGGCUAACUACGUGCCAGCAGCCGCGGUAAUACGUAGGGUACGAGCGUUGUCCGGAAUUAUUGGGCGUAAAGAGCUCGUAGGUGGUUGGUCACGUCUGCUGUGGAAACGCAACGCUUAACGUUGCGCGUGCAGUGGGUACGGGCUGACUAGAGUGCAGUAGGGGAGUCUGGAAUUCCUGGUGUAGCGGUGAAAUGCGCAGAUAUCAGGAGGAACACCGGUGGCGAAGGCGGGACUCUGGGCUGUAACUGACACUGAGGAGCGAAAGCAUGGGGAGCGAACAGGAUUAGAUACCCUGGUAGUCCAUGCCGUAAACGUUGGGCACUAGGUGUGGGGGGCAUUCCACGUUCUCCGCGCCGUAGCUAACGCAUUAAGUGCCCCGCCUGGGGAGUACGGUCGCAAGGCUAAAACUCAAAGGAAUUGACGGGGGCCCGCACAAGCGGCGGAGCAUGCGGAUUAAUUCGAUGCAACGCGAAGAACCUUACCAAGGCUUGACAUACACCGGACCGUCCUGGAAACAGGUCUUCUUCUUUGAAGCUGGUGUACAGGUGGUGCAUGGUUGUCGUCAGCUCGUGUCGUGAGAUGUUGGGUUAAGUCCCGCAACGAGCGCAACCCUCGUUCUAUGUUGCCAGCAUGUGAUGGUGGGAACUCAUAGGAGACUGCCGGGGUCAACUCGGAGGAAGGUGGGGAUGACGUCAAAUCAUCAUGCCCUUUAUGUCUUGGGCUUCACGCAUGCUACAAUGGCUGGUACAGAGAGAGGCGAACCCGUGAGGGCAAGCGAAUCCCUUAAAGCCAGUCUCAGUUCGGAUCGUAGUCUGCAAUUCGACUACGUGAAGUCGGAGUCGCUAGUAAUCGCAGAUCAGCAACGCUGCGGUGAAUACGUUCCCGGGCCUUGUACACACCGCCCGUCAAGUCACGAAAGUCGGUAACACCCGAAGCCGGUGGCCUAACCGUAAGGAGGGGGCCGUCUAAGG
rnacentral:rRNA from 1 species